GCUCACAAAGCCUGCGUAACACACAGAAGCAAUCCUCAUUCUUCCUUUUCCUCCAAAUGCAGCAGCCCAGCCAUGAGUGUCCUGCAAAACACUUUUAGGGGCAAAGGGAGCCAACGUGAAGUGGCACAAGAACUUGGCCAACAGGAGAAUUGCAACACGUGAAUUCCAACCUGUUGCCAAGACCCAUUUUACAGAUGCACAAACCCGGGUGCUGAGAAGAAGCUUGUUCCAGACGGGACUGACUCUGUUAGGCUGCAGAGGCCAUAGGCCCGGCUUCUGCACCAGCUUGCUCACUCCUCCAGGCUGGAGGCUGGACCUGGAGGGCUGGGGCUUUGUUUUGCUCCCUUUGCGCCUCCCAUUCCCCUUCCAACCUGAGAAAGGGCUCUACCCAUGGCAGGCAUUCAAAGAGCCAAGCCGAACUGAAAACAGACUUCCUGAGAUCAUGCGAAAUCAGCAUUUAAAUGACCUGUGGCCUUGUAUGUGUUCUGAUGAUGAGUGACAGUGGGGGCAGGGUGUACGUGACAAUCUAUCCUGUCCUGAGUCAUCUGAGGGUCCAGAGAAGGUCAAUGAGGAAAGGAGAAAUGCACAGAGGGAGGCGUGAUUGCAGGUGGUGCGCCUGUGGGCCGAGUCAGCUCUGAGCUGACAUCUGCUGAGACCCAGCAGCAUUGGGGAGCAGAGGAGACCUGCAUGAUGGUGCUGGUGGCCUUGAUGAAACCACAGCAAGAUCAGAGUCCCUGCAAGUCCCCAGCAUCUGAUCAUGCUCCGGCUUGGGGUAGGUCUGUGCCUACCCCCAAGCCAGGCCCAAGGCCUCACCCUACGAAACCUAUUUUAAACCCCGCCCAAUUCAGGGGAUGAGUACCAGUGCUGGCCUCACCAAGAGCUGCCUUCUCUCCCUCCCUCGCCGCCUCGCCAAAAAGGGAAACCAUUUUUCUGUAAUUACAAGCAUUGUGCUGUGUGAUUACUGUAUUCCGUAAUGACGGCUGUGUGUUGUAAUGACAGGCACGCCACCUCCCCGAGCCAGUGCACUGGCCCCACUCUGCUGUUGACAUAAAUAUCUUCCUGCCAUGCCCAGGGUGUCGGGGAGGCCCUCAGCUUCAGAGGGUCUGCAGCGUGGGGUUCCCCAGAAAAUAAGCAGGGUGCUCCGGGUGCUCCUCUUCCAGGCCACCCUCUCCUGCGGGCCACAUGGGCAGCCCAGCCUUCCCCAGCCUGGCAUCACUAUCACGUGAUGCCACUUACCAAAAUAGCAGCCGAGAGCAAUCUUUUUAAAAAUGAGCUGGUUCAGGUAUUUACUAAAAUAUCACUUUUAAACGUCUGGGUCUUCGACUGGCAUUUUUGCAUAUGUUGGCCACAGCUGAAGGGUUUCAUCCGAACGCAACUUAAUUGGAGCCAAGAAAAUGAAAAGAAGAAAAAGCGGCUUCAAUCGGAAUGAAUCAACAUCUAUUAAUGGCUGUUUAACAUAUUUCUGCUAAUAAUCAUGCAUUAAAUAAUGUGUGCAUUUUAAAUCUGGCUAAAUAUACAAUAGUCCAUCCCUGCCCCAAAAAGGUAAAUAAUGACAGUUAAAAAUAGUCCCAGGACGUAUUUACAUUUUUUUUUCCCCCUGAGCCUUUUUGGUUUAUAGUUCAUCAUUCCAAGGGUAAGAAUUCUAAAAUUUUCUCUGUGUAUUUACAUAACUGAGCAAUUGCCAUGUAUCACAUUGGCUAUCAGACCCUUCCAAGAAAAAUGAGUUUUU
rnacentral:lncRNA from 1 species